rnacentral:rRNA from 1 species
GCGGCGUGGAUUAGGCAUGCAAGUCGAACGUGAUCCGUAGCAAUACGGUGAAAGUGGCGGAAGGGUGAGUAAUGCAUAGAUAACCUACCCCCAAGUCUGGGAUAACUUCGGGAAACCGAAGCUAAUACCGGAUGGGGUCACUGGAUCGCCUGGUUCGGUGACUAAAGGAGGCCUCUGAAUAUGCUCCCGCUCGGGGAGGGAUCUAUGUCCUAUCAGCUAGUUGGUGCGGGUAAUGGCCCACCAAGGCAUUGACGGGUAGCCGGCCUUAGCGGGUGUCCGGCCACAUUGGGACUGAGACACUGCCCAAACUCCUACGGGAGGCUGCAGUCGAGGAUCUUCCGCAAUGGGCGAAAGCCUGACGGAGCGACGCCGCGUGUGGGAUGAAGGCCUUCGGGUUGUAAACCACUGUCACUCGUUAUGAAAGGGCCUGGGGUUAAUAGCCUCAGGCACUUGACAAAGGCGAGAGAGGAAGCCACGGCUAACUUUCGUGCCAGCAGCCCGCGGUAAGACGAANGUGGCGAGCGUUGUUCGGAAUCACUGGGCAUAAAGCGCACGUAAGCGGCGCUACAAGUUGGGUGUGAAAUCCCUCGGCCUAACCGAGGAACUGCGCCCAAGACUGUAGUGCUUGAGGACCAAAGGGGUGCAUGGAAUUUCCGGUGGAGCGGUGAAAUGCGUUGAUAUCGGAAGGAACGUCGGCGGCGAAAGCGAUGCACUGGUUGGUUUCUGACGCUGAGGUGCGAAAGCCAGGGGAGCAAACGGGAUUAGAUACCCCGGUAGUCCUGGCCGUAAACGAUGGGUACUAGGUAGGGGGAUUUCAAACGUCUCUCUGCUGGAGUGAAUAUCUUAAGUACCCCGCCUGGGAAGUACAAUCGCAAGGUUGAAACUCAAAGGAAUUGACGGGGGCUCACACAAGCGGUGGAGCAUGUUGUUUAUUCGAAGCAACGCGCAGAACCUUACCUGGGCUUGACAUGCUGGUGGUAGAAGCACGAAAGUGUAACGACUCCCUCUGAGAGAGCCAGCACAGGUGUUGGAUGGCUGUCGUCAGCUCGUGUCGUGAGAUGUUGGGUUAAGUCGCGUAACGAGCGAAACCGCUGUUCGUAGUUACUACCGGGUAAAGCCGAGGACUCUAGGGAGACUGCCGGUGUUAGACCGGAGGAAGGUGGGGAUGACGUC